ACCAACUGGGAAAGGAUGAGGGGCUGGGUAUCUCAGCAGCCUACCCUUGAAAGACCUAGACCCAGAGGCUGCCCCCACCCCAGGCUGGCCUGCAGUUCUCCCCACCUCUACCAUGAGCAUCAUAAACAAAAAUUCACCAUGUGGAGCAUCCCAUGUGGGGUCCCAAGGAUGUAAGGAUAACCUGUAUCUACCCUGAGGACUUAAGAGAACAGACGGGGGUGACCAGAUAGGUACAUAAAGUAGCCUGUGCCAAGCACACACUGAGAAAACAAAUGUGUACUAACUGGGAAGCCUCCUCUUGAGACCUCAAGAAGUGAUUCUGAAGAAAGGGUAGGACUGAAAGAGGUGUCACCAAAGGGAUCUCAAGCAGAACAACAUGAACAAAGUUGCAAAGGCCUCCUUCAGAGUGGGGAGGAGGAUUCCUUCAAUCACAAAAGGCUUGGCUGGAGAGGCCACCAUUGGACUGAUCCUCGUGUUUUCGGUACUCCAAAUGUGCCCUCUUUUUAACACUCCCCUCUCCAUAGUCCUCUCUACAAAAGCACUUUCCUUUCCUCUGCUUCUUAUCGCCUUUUCUCUCACCACUCAGUCCUAACUCUUCCGCCUCUCCAAACCGCUAAUCCCUGAGUUCCUAAUUUAGCCCUCCGGUCAGCCCUGAAGCUUCUCGGGCUUCAAGGUUCUAGUUCCCUCUCCCGGACUUCCCCUGUCAUUUGUCUCGAAGCCCCGCCCUCCCUCGCUCUCGUCCGGCUCCACCUCCAGCCACAGAGCUCAUCCUCGAUCCCUUCCGCUCACCCGGACCCCCAGGCUCCGGGAGCCCUCCAAGAAGUGGCCGAAGAGAGAUGCACCCUUCACCCUUCUUGUUCGAGGUUGUCCCGAAUGGACUAAAUCAAUGAAAAUCACAGCUUUUAUUGAGGAAGCCCUCUCUGCAUAACUGCUCUCUCCUCUCAACCUUUUGGACUUAGAGGUGGUCACAAUAGAGCUAGGAUGAAUAAGAAUCCCAGUCAAAGAGGGAGAGAGAUGGCUUCCAAACAGGAGGCAGGACACCAUGUGUGCCACACAGCAGUAAGUACAUCAGUCCUGCUAAGGGCAGCCACUUAUGAUAUCUGAGAAUGGGAUUACCCAUCUCUAAGUGGCCAUUUGAGAAAUCUGUGUCUCAUCAGGUGACCCAGCUGCCUCCCACUCCUUGUGUCUCAAUCUAAACAUUGA